rnacentral:tRNA from 1 species
GCCCAGGUCCCCCAACUCGUUAGCGCGUAAGACUUUUAAUCUUAAGGCUGAGAGUUUGAGCCUCUCCUCGGGCC